AAUUGGAAGGCAAUUGGAAAGGAAUUGCAGCCAGUAGCAAAAUGCAAUGUGAAAGAAGUCGAUGCUUGUAAAGUAAGACAAAUGCAGGCAGAGGGAGGAAAUGGAGAAUUAUGGAGAAUCAGGUGAUAACUUAUUCAUAGAUUUCUGCAGAAAACACAGACAGCGAGUAAGCCAACUGUGAAAUAGGGCUGCUGUUCUUUAAAUGUCUAUUAGCUAUUGCAAUCCUUUCUGAGCACCUGAUCUCUGCUCCACACUCCAUGGUAACAGGGGGAGAAAUCAUUAUGCAUGAUUAACUUAUGACAUAUCAUGUUAUAAUAUUAGGUAAUACAAUGAGAAUAAAAUAGAUGAGAUUUGAAACAAAUGUUAUAGGUGACCAUGUAAGUUGUUGUUGUUAGCACCAAUUCCAUCAUCGACAUCUUAGGCCAAGGGUGGGCUCUAACAUUAGACAACUUCUCAUAAAAAGAUAGUCAUGGCCAGGGCCGUAGCCAGAAAAAUUUCAGUGGGUUUGAAACUUUUAUUUAGAAAAUCAUGAAGGUUAGUUCCAUAUCACAAAAUAAUUUAAAUAGUAUGGUUCAUUCUAUCUAUAUAUAUAAAUGAGUGAUGGCAUAACGGUGACUCACAAAACAACAAAACUACAGGCCCCCCAACCUCGAAAUUUGACAACACAACCCAUCAUCCACGCCUCUAGGUUGAUACAACAAAAAGAAAAGAAAAAUAAAGUCCUAAUUAGAGGGAGAGCAAUAAUUUUUUAACCAAUUGCUGCCAGUUUAGAGGGCUAAUCUCUGCCCACUUGGUCUCCUAGCACCAACUCAGCCAAGGGACAGCCAGGGUUCAGUUAGGGGACAGGCAGACUUAGGCCCCACUUAGGCCUCUUCCACAGAUUAUCUAAUUUGCACUGGAUUAUAUGCCAGUGUAGACUCAAGGCCCUUCCACACAGCUAUAUAACCCAUUUAUAAUCUUAUAUUAUCUGCUUUGAACUGGUUUAUUUUGACUCCACACUGCCAUAUAAUCCACUUCAGUGUGCAUUUUAUACAGCUGUGAAGAAGGGGCCUCAUAUAAUCCACUUCUAAGCAGAUAAUAUAAGAUUAUAAAUAUACAGUAGAGUCUCACUUAUCCAACAUAAACAGUCCGGCAGAACGUUGGAUAAGUGAAUAUGUUGGAUAAUAAGAAGGGAUUCAGAAAAAGACAAUUAAACAUCAAAUUAGGUAAUCAUUAUACAAAUUAAGCACCAAAACAUCAUGUUAUACAACAAAUUUGACAGAAAAAGUAGUUCCAUGUGCACUAAUUCUAUGUAGUAAUUACUGUAUUUACCCUUUACCUUAACUACCACCAAUUCCUCGAUACUUUAUUUCCCAUACCACCAUACUUCGCCACAGCAACGCGUGGCCGGGCACAGCUAGUAUUUUUAUAUAGACUUAAUUAAAUCAAUUUUCUAUUUUAGUUACAAUGUUUCAAGUCGUAAAAUUACUGAAAAUGACUGUUAAUUGGUAAUUUAUAGUUACAAAAGAAUAUCAAAACAUCUGGUGGAAACACUUGAAACUUGUCAGUACAGUUUGACAAAUCAGGCUCCAUCCAUAAACUUCAGUGUACACUCAAGAGUGCAAGUCCAGUGAGUCUUGCUUGCCCCAUUAUGCUUCUUAUGUAUGUUUUCCAACAUUUAAGUUACACACACACACACAUACACACAUACACAUUUUAAAUUGGCAUAUCUAAAAAUCAAGAUCAAUGACCCAUAGAUAUUAUCAAAUUACAAUAGAGUCUAGCUUAUCCAACCUUUGCUCAUCCAACGAUCUGUAUUAUCCAUGCAGUAUGCCCCCCACCCAGAUCCACAGCUGUUUCUCUAGGCAGGAAUACACAGUGGACUAAUAUGCCCAACAAAAGCACAAGUGCAUCCAUGCUCCCAAACAAGUUGCAGAUUUGUUGUAAAACAUGAUGUUUUGGUGCUUAAUUUGUAAAAUCAUAACAAUUUGACGUUUAAUUGGCUUUCCCUUAAUCCCUCCUUAUUAUCCAAUAUUUUCACUUAUCCAAUGUUCCGCUGGCCCAUGAUGUUGGAUAAGAGAGACCCUACUAUAUUAGAAACUACAUAAAAUACAUCAAGUGUAUUUAAACUUAAGUUUUUCUUGUGGAGUGUUUUUGGGAUUACAGUUCCCCAAAUGGACGUGGCUUGUCAUAAGACAAAAGCACAGAUCUAAAAGACACUACCAGGGUAUUUAACCAUAAUGAAUACAGUAGAGUCUCACUUAUCCAACGUUCUGGAUUAUCCAAUGCAUUUUUGUAGUCAAUGUUUUCUAUACAUCGUGAUAUUUUGGUGCUAAA